AUUGAACGCUGGCGGAAUGCUUUACACAUGCAAGUCGAACGGCAGCACGGGGCAACCUGGUGGCGAGUGGCGAACGGGUGAGUAAUACAUCGGAACGUGCCCAAUCGUGGGGAAUAACGUAGCGAAAGUUACGCUAAUACCGCAUACGAUCUACGGAUGAAAGCGGGGGAUCGCAAGACCUCGCGCGAAUGGAGCGGCCGAUGUCAGAUUAGGUAGUUGGUGGGGUAAAGGCUCACCAAGCCGACGAUCUGUAGCUGGUCUGAGAGGACGACCAGCCACACUGGGACUGAGACACGGCCCAGACUCCUACGGGAGGCAGCAGUGGGGAAUUUUGGACAAUGGGCGCAAGCCUGAUCCAGCCAUUCCGCGUGCAGGAUGAAGGCCUUCGGGUUGUAAACUGCUUUUGUACGGAGCGAAAAGGCUCUCUCUAAUACAGGGGGCUCAUGACGGUACCGUAAGAAUAAGCACCGGCUAACUACGUGCCAGCAGCCGCCGUAACAC
rnacentral:rRNA from 1 species